AUAAAUAACAAGACACUGAACGUAUCGUUGUCUGAAGAUCAGUUAACAGUUUCAGGAAAAUGCAGAAGAUAAAGUUGAAUAUGUCACGUUUAAUACUGUGCCAGGGUCGCUUUUCACCUGUAUGGUGGGGGGGGGGGGGGGGGGGGAGGUUAUGUUGCAAAUACUUUUAAAAAUAAUAAUCAUAUACCCACUUUUAAAAAUGGAGGUAAUCCACCUGAGUAUAAAACUGCCAUUGUUUGCUAAAGUGACUGAUGCUAACCCAAUGUACAUAUCCUGUAAAAGAUGAGGUCAUUGAAACAUGUUGGAAAAUUAUUGAAUAUGAUGUUAUUGCUGUCGGCUAUGAAAGUAACAUCCAUACUGUUAAUGUGUAAUGGUAACGUUUCUCCAUGCGGUGGCGUGAAAUAGAAGAGAAUAUGUUAGAUAGAGACAACACGAACUCAAAUAUGGUUACAUAUGUUCACUGGUGAUGACUGACCAGUAGCCAUGAAAUCAAGUAAUGAACUUGAGCCCCGAUAUAGCGCUCAAGACCAAACACGUCUGUCUGUCUCAGUGAUAAACAUUUCAAUCACUUACGCCCAUGACAGGCGUGUUUGGACAUUCAGUGGGUGUAAGCCUGUGUCAAGUGAUUGAUUUCGCCGUACAGAGACUAUAGCUGUCGCUCGUCAAGGCCAUACGUCUUCAUCGUGGCGAUUUUGUGGCAUCUGUCCUCCCACAUCACGCGAUCAGCCUGCACAUAGUCUUAAAAGACUGAGUCACUGUUUGGUCAAAUGCUUUGCGCCACAUCACUUUCCCUAUCAAAAGCAACUGAUCAGUUCCCUAUGAUGCACAUCCAAAGAAAGUUUGUUUGUUUUUGUGGGGGUUUGGAUUUGUUUUUGUUUUUUUAACGAGAUCACUGGAGCAAAUUGAUUUGUUAUUCAUCGGCUAGUGGAUGUCAAGCAUGUUUGGUAAUUUUGACGUAUAGUCUUAGAGAGGAAACUCGCUGCCUCUUUUCCAUUAGUAGCAAGGAUCUUUUAUAUGCACCAUCCCACAGACAGGAUAGCACAUACCACUAUACCACGGCCACUAUAACUACAUAACCACAGACGAGUACUACUCACCAGACCCGUUUUUAUGCUUAUUUUCAAUUAUUUUAUACUUUUCUACGUUUGUUUUCCUGGUCAAAAUGCCCCUUUUUUUAUGAGUCUCAAGUUCAAAGAGUAUCGGUUACGCAGAAAUAAAUCCAGGUAACCCAUUUCCUUUUGCAUAACCCGUUAUAUUCUGUAAAUUGUGCUCUAAAGUUUGCAAGAACACAAAAAUAGCUUUCGCAAAAUUAGAUUUGCACGAGCAACGCGCUAACAAAACGAUCGCUCUCGCAAGUUCCCGAGGCUGAUUUCCAUGUGCUUAAAGUGGACAGUUGAUCAAACAUGGCUAAUUUCUCACUCAGAUAGACUACCUCCAUGUUUUAUAGGGUUACCUAACAAUAUUAAUACUAACACUACACCCUAAAUUUAUGAAUUGAUUGUAUAUAUAUAUAUUUAAUAAAUAGUUUAUUGCCCCAGAAAUAUGAUAUGAUACAAAGUACAUAGUAAACAAUCAUUACAAAAUGUUAAUCUAAAAAUAAUGUACAUACUAAUCUAUAAAUAAUGUACAUACUAAUCUAUAAAUAAUGUACAUACUAAUCUAUAAAUAAUGUACAUACUAAUCUAUAAAUAAUGUACAUACUAAUCUAUAAAAAAUGUACAUACUAAUCUAUAAAAAAUGUACAUACUAAUCUAUAAAUAAUGUACAUACUAAUCUAUAAAAAAGGAGCAGUGACAAAGGUAUAAAAAGAAGAUUGAAAAGAGAAAAGUAAAAAUGAUACGAUAGAUAUACUUCCAAACUGAUACGAUAGAUAUACUUCCAAACUGUCGUCAUACAUAAAUAUAUCACUUGUGACGUUCUGGAACUUUUAACCAAGGUUACGAUAGAUAUACUUCCAAACUGUCGUCAUACAUAAAUAUAUUACUUGUGACGUUCUGGAACCUUUAACCAAGGUUUCCAAUUAUCGUCGAAUUCUGUAUGUAAAUAGUUUUUGUAAUAUAUGUAUUUUUCUAUUUGUAACUAUCUUUAAUAAACAUUUUGAUACCA
rnacentral:lncRNA from 1 species